rnacentral:rRNA from 1 species
GUCGAAACACCGACUCUCGUACGAUAACCAAAGUUCAGCAAAGUCGGGCGUGGUCAGUACCUCGAUGGGUGACCGCUUGGGAAUACCAGGUGCUGUAGG